rnacentral:rRNA from 1 species
AACUUUCAACAACGGAUCUCUUGGCUCUGGCAUCGAUGAAGAACGCAGCGAAAUGCGAUAAGUAAUGUGAAUUGCAAAAUUUAGUGAAUCAUCGAAUCUUUGAACGCACAUUGCGCCCCUUGGUAUUCCGAGGGGCAUGCCUGUUCGAGCGUC